ensembl:snRNA U6 U6 spliceosomal RNA
GUGCUUGCUUUGGCAGUACAUAUACUAAAAUUGGAACGAUACAGAGAAGAUUAGCAUGGCGCCUACACAAUGGUGACAUGCAAAUUUGUGAAGCAUUCCAUAUUUUU